GGGGUUGUAGCUUAGUGGCAGAGUGCUUGUCUCUCAUGUAUGAGGUACUGGGUUCGAUCCUCAGCACCACA
rnacentral:tRNA from 1 species